CCUACGCGUGGCAGCAGUGAGGAAUAUUGGUCAAUGGACUAGAGUCUGAACCAGCCAAGUAGCGUGAAGGAUGACUGCCCUAUGGGUUGUAAACUUCUUUUAUAUGGGAAUAAAAUGUUCCACGUGUGGGAUUUUGUAUGUACCAUAUGAAUAAGGAUCGGCUAACCCCGUGCCAGCAGCCGCGGUAAUACGGAGGAUCCGAGCGUUAUCCGGUUUUAUUGGGUUUAAAGGGAGCGUAGGUGGAUUGUUAAGUCAGUUGUGAAAGUUUGCGGCUCAACCGGAAAAUUGCAGUUGAAACUGGCAGUCUUGAGUACAGGAGAGGUAGGCGGAAUUCGUGGUGUAGCGGUGAAAUGCUUAGAUAUCGCGAAGAACUCCGAUUGCGAAGGCAGCUCGCUGGACUGCAACUGACACUGAGGCUCGAAAGUGUGGGUAUCAAACAGGAUUAGAUACCCGGGUAGUC
rnacentral:rRNA from 1 species